UAAGGAAUAUUGGUCAAUGGACGCAAGUCUGAACCAGCCAUGCCGCGUGGAGGAUGAAGGUCCUCUGGAUUGUAAACUUCUUUUAUCUGGGACGAAACACUUCUUUUCUAAGAGGCCUGACGGUACCAGAUGAAUAAGCACCGGCUAACUCCGUGCCAGCAGCCGCGGUAAUACGGAGGGUGCAAGCGUUAUCCGGAUUCACUGGGUUUAAAGGGUGCGUAGGUGGGCUUAUAAGUCAGUGGUGAAAUCUCCGAGCUUAACUUGGAAACUGCCGUCGAUACUAUAGGUCUUGAAUUAUCUGGAGGUAAGCGGAAUAUGUCAUGUAGCGGUGAAAUGCUUAGAUAUGACAUAGAACACCAAUUGCGAAGGCAGCUUACUACAUAUAAAUUGACGCUGAGGCACGAAAGCGUGGGGAUCAAACA
rnacentral:rRNA from 1 species